UGGCGAGCUACUCAUAGGUGGGCUGGUAGCUACUGGUAGAUGGACCUAUUGGAGCCCCCUAUCAUAGAGCAUCACAAGGUAGAUCAGCUGAUCAUAGAUCAUUAUAUGGUAGAUCAGCUGAUCAUAGAGCAUCACAAGGUAGAUCAGCUGAUCAUAGAUCAUUAUAUGGUAGAUCAGCUGAUCAUAGAUCAUCACAAUGUAGAUCAGCUGAUCAUAGAUCAUUAUAUGGUAGAUCAGCUGAUCAUAGAGCAUCACAAGGUAGAUCAGCUGAUCAUAGAUCAUUAUAUGGUAGAUCAGCUGAUCAUAGAUCAUCACAA